rnacentral:rRNA from 1 species
UACGAAGGGGGCUAGCGUUGCUCGGAAUCACUGGGCGUAAAGCGCACGUAGGCGGAUUGUUAAGUCAGGGGUGAAAUCCUGGAGCUCAACUCCAGAACUGCCUUUGAUACUGGCGAUCUUGAGUCCGGGAGAGGUGAGUGGAACUGCGAGUGUAGAGGUGAAAAUUCGUAGAUAUUCGCAAGAACACCAGUGGCGAAGGCGGCUCACUGGCCCGGUACUGACGCUGAGGUGCGAAAGCGUGGGGGAGCAAACAGG